rnacentral:snoRNA from 1 species
GUUUCUCUCUCCCCUCUCCAUUCCUCUCUUUUAAAAAAAUCAAUAAAAACCAUAGGCAGUCACACACAUCAAAACAUAUGGUUCCUGCCGACAGGGUCUGUAUAGUUAUCAGAUUUCCUGUGCGAUGGCUCCAUACAUG